UACUAGGAUAUUGUGCGUGGUAGCUAUAUAAAGAUGCCCAGUUACUCUGCUCUUGUCAUUCUCACACAGUCCCUUACAAAGGCAAAAUACAUAGCUGAUCUUAGUUGAAUCAUGUUAAAGUCGACUUCCCUCAAAGCGCUUCUGACGCUUUUCAUGGUGACUUUUGUUAUAAUGGCAUCAUCGUCCGGCUCAAGUUGGGGAGUUGAUGCUCGUUAUCUACCCACUCGAUCUGAUCCACUAUCACCAAUUGGGCCCCCUCGAGGUGAAGAUCCACGUUUCGACCGUCUCUACGACAUAAUCAUUAGAGAGCUACUUCGAAAUGGUGGAGGUGAUAUGCUGGAUGAAGCGAAGUACCCAAUCAAGAACCAGUUCAGCAGUGGCGCAUAUUAACUUAGAAGACAAAGUUCGUCUCUCAAUGAACACUUUCGUUUUCGGCAUCGCGUUUCAAUCCAACCUUUUCUUAUCUCGCAAUUUUUAAAUAAUAGUUCAUAAAAUCAACUGGGAGAUAAUAUUAGGUAUAUGCAUCGCAUUUGUUUGCUCGUUUACACCUGAAAGUAUUAUAGCUACUGGCGAACUGCAGAAACCGUAAUUAAUCGCUUAAUACAUGCCGCUUAAUGUAA